rnacentral:rRNA from 1 species
UACAGAGGUCUCAACCGUUGUUCGGAUUCAUUGGGCGUAAAGGGUGCGUAGGCGGUCGUGCAAGUCGGAUGUGAAAUCUCAGGGCUCAACCCUGAAACUGCAUUCGAUACUGCGUGGCUAGAGUGCUGGAGAGGAGACUGGAAUUUACGGUGUAGCAGUGAAAUUCGUAGAUAUUCGCAAGAACACCAGUGGCGAAGGCGGCUCACUGGCCCGGUACUGACGCUGAGGUGCGAAAGCGUGGGGAGCAAACAGG